CUUUAAUUCGCGGUUGAAAGCGCAGCCGUUGGGACUUGGGUACGUUUCCCUCCACCAAAUAGCAAUCUAUUAGAGUGGAAUAUGGAACUUUUUCGCUUGAAGACUUCAAUUUGGUUACGUACAAAAGAAGAGUGAGAACUCCGUCUCAAUUCAUCGCCGUAAAAUUUUACUUGUUCCGACGGUGUGGUCUUCGUAUAGGAAUCAAUCGCCAACGAGAUAAGUGUUCAGGUGUUGAGAAUCAAUCAUGUAAUUAUACUGUGGUUGGGAGGUUCGAAUUUCUAGUUUAGAGCCUCGAAAACCUAGUGCUAGUUGUAUGGCACAUAUUCUUGUUAUCUUUUUUGUACCAAAGUCUCGUUAGCCUAGCAAUGCUUGCAGAUUUGUUUCCUAUAAAAUGACAUGAAUCAUUAGCGAAGUAUGCUACGUAAUGCUUAUAUGCACUUGCGGAUGUAAGACCAGGUAAUUUCUUGGGAUAUGACAGACUUUCACUCUACGAAGCUGACGUACGCUGAUUGGUCGAAGACUGUCUUUGAGUAAUUUCAGAUUGUCAUGUUUUGAAGAUACGUUAAUUUCACGCGAGCCAACAAUUAGUCCAAAAAGGAGAGCUCCAAAGUCCUGAAAAAAUGUUGUUGGAUUUCCUGCUUUGCAGAUUGCUGUUGCAGUUUACCAGAAAUUUGAGUGUCACCAAGGAAGGGAAUGUCUUGCCAAAGAGCUAGUUGGAUAUAUAUAUAUUUUGCCAAUACUUUGUUCUUCUUACGGUUCCUCCUAUCCUCUUCAUUUUAUGAUCAUUUGGGGAUGGAACUCUUUUAUUAUUAUUAGCAUUACUAUUGUAUUAUUCUUUCCAUUCUUUGUCUUCUGAUCACUAACGGAUUUGUUUUCUAUCAAAUAUAGGUUAAAGAUUUAAUUAUCCUCUCCACUCUUUUCAUAUGUGAAGAAAUUUAUCCUGGUUCACAUUGUUUGUAUUCCAAUCCAAAAAUAGCAACAGAAAACCACAUGGUAUCUUGGAGGUGCUAAGUUUCGAGAAACAGGAUUGAUUAUCUGCAAACAAGUAUUCCUUCCUGAUGGGAUCUUCAAUAUAUGGCGCCAUUGAAGAGGAAUACUAAAUACUUCUCAGACUACAGCAACAGGCUAUAAAUCACGAAAAUCCAAUGUUGACUUUAAAUAGGACAUGAAUCUUGAGUAUCCUGGUCAGCACAUGGAGUACAGACUCAAUGAAAAAGGUUUUGGUUCCGUAACUGAAGUUCAGUUUAGGUAAGGUUAGUUAUGGUGUUACAUUUAUGUAGUUAGGUGUGUGUCUUUUUGGAUCGUGGUGUUUAAAUAUUAACCUUUUAAUAUUUCAUCUCUCUCGUUGUGGUUGGUUCUGGAGAUAUGGGAGUUAAGAUUCUAGAAGCAGAACAAUCUGAGAAAGGGUUUGCUUGGAGGCAGAGCUGUGCUCUCCAGUUGAAGAUCAAAUAAGCUAGGACAUGAUUUGCAUCAAAAGAGGAGGAAGAAGUAUCUCUUAAAGGGCAACCAUUUUUUUCUCUCCAAAUUACUUGUCAAAGGAAAUAUUUAAACGAUGGUGAACCGUGUAAUCUUUUUGGUACCAUCAACAUGUUAUUAAUACAAAAGCAAGGAUGCCCAAUACAAUAUUAGAGAUUUUUUUCUUUUUUAUAUUCACGAAUGUCUGAGUCAGCUUAUAUCAUUCAAACUAAUCUCUUAAAACAAUCAUCUUUCACAUAUUAAGUCCAAUAGGUCUGUUAGACAUUUUUAUCUUUUUUCUGAUUUUAGAUAAGUGAAAUUCACAGUUUUAAAAUUAAGACGUUUGAGGACCAGUUCUCUUCUCUUUUGAUUUCCUCCAUAUAAUUAAAUGCUAAUUAAGAAACUACCAGCAAGAUGGAGACGACUUGCAAACAUGCGGUCAAUGUGCUUAGCAACACAAUGUUUUUCCUAGAAAUGUAGAUUACUUAAUCAGUUGGAUAACUGAUAAAUCCCCAUUAUCAAUCCUCAUUGUCAAAGUUUAUUUUCAUCAAAUCAAGCUUCAUCACCGUUUCUUUUCUUCAAAAUCCAUCCCCUUCUGUUGUACAGAUAGCCAUUCCGAUGAGGAAUAUAUUAUUUUCAUGGCUUUUUUUAAUACCCAUGUGGUCGAUGUUACUUCCACUAGACAAUAACGUGGUCUUUGGGCGAUGCCUUGAGGAUCAGCAGUCUCUCUUGCUGGAAUUGAAGAAUAAUCUUGUAUACGAUUCUUCCUUGUCCAAGAAACUGGUGCACUGGAAUGAAAGUGUCGAUUACUGUAAUUGGAAUGGUGUUAACUGCAACGACGGCUGUGUUAUCGGUCUUGAUUUGAGCAAGGAGUCGAUUUUCGGUGGGAUUGAUAAUUCAAGCAGUCUUUUCAGUCUUCGGUUCUUACGGACUUUGAACUUGGGUUUCAACAGUUUUAAUUCCUCGAUGCCUUCUGGAUUUAACAGGCUUUCGAAUUUAAGUUUGCUGAAUAUGUCUAAUUCUGGAUUUGAUGGCCAGAUUCCUAUUGAGAUUUCAAACUUAACUGGGUUGGUUAGCCUCGACCUUUCUACCUCGUUUCUCUUUCAAGUUUCGACACUGAAGCUUGAGAACCCAAAUUUGAUGACUUUUGUUCAGAAUUUGAGCAAUUUGAGAGUGCUAAUUUUGGAUGGUGUAGAUUUAUCAGCACAAGGAAGGGAAUGGUGCAAGGCCUUCUCAUCAUCUCCACUGCUUAAUCUAAGAGUGUUGAGUUUAUCGAGAUGUUCUCUUAAUGGACCUCUCGAUCCUUCCCUUGUGAAGCUUCCAUCUCUAUCAGUGAUUCGUCUAGAUAUUAACAUAUUCUCCUCACGAGUUCCUGAAGAGUUUGCAGAGUUCUUAAAUCUGACUGUCCUGCAGCUUGGCACUACGAGAUUACUUGGAGUUUUUCCACAAAGCAUAUUCAAGGUGCCAAAUCUUCAUACUAUCGACCUAUCCAAUAAUGACCUGCUGCAAGGUUCGCUUCCAGAUUUCCAGUUUAACGGAGCCUUUCAAACUCUAGUGCUCCAAGGCACAAAAUUUUCAGGGACACUGCCAGAAUCUAUCGGAUAUUUUGAGAACUUGACCAGAUUAGACUUGGCGAGUUGCAACUUUGUCGGAUCAAUCCCAAAUUCUAUCCUAAACCUUACACAACUCACAUAUUUGGAUCUUUCGAGCAACAAAUUUGUUGGUCCAGUCCCAUCAUUUUCCCAAUUGAAGAAUCUUACGGUCUUAAACCUUGCUCAUAAUCGGUUGAAUGGUUCCUUGCUUUCCACAAAAUGGGAAGAGCUUCCCAAUCUCGUUAAUCUUGAUUUGCGUAACAAUUCCAUCACUGGAAAUGUUCCUUCGUCUCUCUUCAAUCUUCAAACAAUCCGGAAGAUUCAAUUGAACUACAAUCUAUUUAGUGGUAGUUUAAAUGAGCUCUCCAACGUGUCCUCUUUCUUACUUGAUACCCUUGAUUUGGAGAGCAAUCGGUUAGAAGGGCCAUUCCCAAUGUCGUUUUUGGAACUUCAAGGUCUGAAGAUUCUCUCACUUUCUUUCAACAAUUUUACCGGAAGAUUGAAUCUAACCGUAUUCAAGCAGCUUAAGAAUAUUACAAGACUUGAACUCUCAAGCAACAGCCUGUCUGUUGAAACGGAAAGCACUGACUCAAGUUCUUUUCCUCAAAUGACCACAUUGAAGUUGGCUUCCUGCAAUUUAAGAAUGUUUCCUGGCUUCUUGAAAAAUCAAUCUAAGCUCAACACUCUUGAUCUCUCCCAUAAUGAUCUUCAAGGAGAAAUACCUCUCUGGAUUUGGGGUCUUGAAAAUCUUGAUCAGUUAAAUCUUUCUUGCAACUCUCUUGUUGGUUUUGAAGGGCCUCCAAAGAAUCUUUCUUCCAGUCUCUAUCUUCUUGACCUUCAUUCCAACAAAUUUGAAGGGCCACUCUCAUUCUUUCCUUCAUCUGCUGCCUAUUUGGACUUCUCCAACAACAGUUUCAGUUCUGCCAUUAUACCUGCUAUUGGACAAUACCUCUCAUCCACUGUCUUCUUUUCUCUAUCAAGAAAUCGCAUUCAAGGCAAUAUUCCUGAAUCCAUAUGCGAUUCUAAGAGUCUUCAGGUACUGGAUUUGUCUAAUAAUGAUUUGAGUGGCAUGUUUCCCCAGUGUCUAACUGAGAAGAAUGAUAAUCUUGUGGUACUAAAUCUAAGAGAAAACGCCUUAAAUGGCUCUAUUCCUAAUGCAUUUCCAGCUAACUGCGGUCUGAGGACUCUUGAUCUAAGUGGAAACAACAUCGAAGGGCGGGUACCAAAGUCUUUAUCAAAUUGUCGAUAUUUGGAGGUUUUGGAUCUUGGAAAGAAUUCCAUAGAUGAUAUCUUCCCAUGCUCAUUGAAGAGCAUAUCCACUUUACGUGUGCUUGUUCUUCACUCAAACAAAUUUCAUGGUAAAUUUGGAUGUCAAGAGAGGAAUGGCACUUGGAAGAGCCUGCAAAUUGUUGACAUAUCUCGAAACUACUUUAAUGGUAGGAUAUCUGGAAAAUUCGUAGAAAAGUGGAAAGCAAUGGUGGGUGAGGAAGACUUUAGCAAGUCAAGAGCUAAUCACCUUCGUUUUAAUUUCUUCAAAUUCAGUGCUGUGAACUAUCAAGACACGGUAACUAUUACAAGCAAAGGUCUGGACGUUGAACUGACAAAAAUUCUAACAGUCUUCACUUCCAUUGACUUCUCAUGCAAUCUCUUCAAUGGCCAUAUACCUGCAGAAAUCGGAGAACUCAAGGCGCUUUAUCUUCUCAACUUGUCCCACAAUUCCCUGUCCGGCGAAAUUCCCUCAUCUAUAGGAAAUUUGAGUCAGCUGGGUUCUUUAGAUCUUUCAAGUAACAUGCUUUCUGGCCAAAUCCCUCUACAGCUCGCGGGACUAUCGUUUCUAUCUGUGUUGAAUCUGUCCUACAAUCUGUUGGUUGGUAUGAUUCCCAUUGGCUCCCAAUUCCAAACAUUUUCUGAAGAUUCCUUUAUUGGUAAUGAAGGAUUAUGUGGAUACCCUUUGCCAAAUAAAUGUGGAAUUGCAAUUCAACCAUCAUCUUCAGAUACAAUGGAAUCUUCAGAAAACGAAUUUGAAUGGAAAUACAUAAUAAUUACACUUGGAUUCAUAUCAGGAGCUAUCACGGGCGUAAUCGCGGGUGUUUUCUUAUGGGAGAAAAAAUCGAAAGCAUGGAUGAGAUGGGCCUCAGCUUUAGCUUUGGCUUUAAAAUGUCAUAAUAAUACCAACAAAAGAAGGUCCGUCCCGAUGAGAAAUCUUUUCUUUUCAUGCAUUUCUUUGAUUUUCAACUGCUUUCUUUUCCUUAGCGUAGGGAUUUCUUUGGUUUCUGGACGAUGCCCUGACGAUCAGCAUUCUCUGUUGCUUCAAUUGAAGAAUGAUCUCGUGUACAAUUCUUCCUUUUCCAAGAAACUGGUUCACUGGAAUGAAAGGGUCGAUUACUGUAAUUGGAAUGGUGUUAACUGCACCGACGGCUGUGUUACCGAUCUUGAUUUGAGCGAGGAGUUGAUUUUAGGUGGGAUUGAUAAUUCAAGCAGUCUUUUCAGUCUUCGGUUCUUACGGACUUUGAACUUGGGUUUCAACAGGUUUAAUUCCCUGAUGCCUUCUGGAUUUAACAGGCUUUCGAAUUUAAGUGUGUUGAAUAUGUCUAAUUCUGGAUUUAAUGGCCAGAUUCCUAUUGAGAUUUCAAACUUAACUGGCUUGGUUAGCCUCGAUCUUACUAGCUCGCCUCUCUUUCAAUUUCCUACACUGAAGCUUGAGAACCCAAAUUUGAGGACUUUUGUUCAGAAUUUGAGCAAUUUGGGAGAACUAAUUUUGAAUGGUGUAGACUUAUCGGCACAAGGAAGGGAAUGGUGCAAGGCCUUAUCGUCUUCAUUGUUAAAUCUGACAGUGCUGAGCUUAUCUGGCUGUGCUCUUUCAGGACCUCUUGAUUCUUCCCUUGCGAAACUUCGGUAUCUAUCAGAUAUUCGUCUGGAUAAUAACAUUUUUUCCUCACCGGUUCCUGAUAAUUAUGCGGAUUUCCCAACUUUGACUUCGCUGCAUCUUGGUAGUUCAAAUUUAUCUGGAGAAUUUCCACAAAGUAUUUUCCAGGUAUCAACUCUUCAGACUCUGGACUUAUCCAAUAAUAAGUUGCUGCAAGGUUCUCUUCCAGAUUUUCCAUCCAGUAGACCCCUUCAAACUCUAGUGCUCCAAGGCACAAAAUUUUCAGGGACACUGCCAGAAUCUAUCGGAUAUUUUGAGAACUUGACCAAAUUAGACUUGGCGAGUUGCAACUUUGGCGGAUCAAUCCCAAAUUCUAUCCUAAACCUUACACAACUCACAUAUUUGGAUCUUUCGAGCAACAAAUUUGUUGGUCCAGUCCCAUCAUUUUCCCAAUUGAAGAAUCUUACGGUCUUAAACCUUGCUCAUAAUCGGUUGAAUGGUUCCUUGCUUUCCACAAAAUGGGAAGAGCUUCCCAAUCUCGUUAAUCUUGAUUUGCGUAACAAUUCCAUCACUGGAAAUGUUCCUUCGUCUCUCUUCAAUCUUCAAACAAUCCGGAAGAUUCAAUUGAACUACAAUCUAUUUAGUGGUAGUUUAAAUGAGCUCUCCAACGUGUCCUCUUUCUUACUUGAUACCCUUGAUUUGGAGAGCAAUCGGUUAGAAGGGCCAUUCCCAAUGUCGUUUUUGGAACUUCAAGGUCUGAAGAUUCUCUCACUUUCUUUCAACAAUUUUACCGGAAGAUUGAAUCUAACCGUAUUCAAGCAGCUUAAGAAUAUUACAAGACUUGAACUCUCAAGCAACAGCCUGUCUGUUGAAACGGAAAGCACUGACUCAAGUUCUUUUCCUCAAAUGACCACAUUGAAAUUGGCUUCCUGCAAUUUAAGAAUGUUCCCUGGCUUCUUGAAAAAUCAAUCUAAGCUCAACUCUCUUGAUCUCUCCCAUAAUGAUCUUCAAGGAGAAAUACCUCUCUGGAUUUGGGGCCUUGAAAAUCUUAAUCAGUUAAAUCUUUCUUGCAACUCUCUUGUUGGUUUUGAAGGGCCUCCAAAGAAUCUUUCUUCCAGUCUCUAUCUUCUUGACCUUCAUUCCAACAAAUUUGAAGGGCCACUCUCAUUCUUUCCUUCAUCUGCUGCCUAUUUGGACUUCUCCAACAACAGUUUCAGUUCUGCCAUUAUACCUGCUAUUGGACAAUACCUCUCAUCCACUGUCUUCUUUUCUCUAUCAAGAAAUCGCAUUCAAGGCAAUAUUCCUGAAUCCAUAUGCGAUUCUAAGAGUCUUCAGGUACUGGAUUUGUCUAAUAAUGAUUUGAGUGGCAUGUUUCCCCAGUGUCUAACUGAGAAGAAUGAUAAUCUUGUGGUACUAAAUCUAAGAGAAAACGCCUUAAAUGGCUCUAUUCCUAAUGCAUUUCCAGCUAACUGCAGUCUGAGGACUCUUGAUCUAAGUGGAAACAACAUCGAAGGGCGGGUACCAAAGUCUUUAUCAAAUUGUCGAUAUUUGGAGGUUUUGGAUCUUGGAAAGAAUUCCAUAGAUGAUAUCUUCCCAUGCUCAUUGAAGAGCAUAUCCACUUUACGGGUGCUUGUUCUUCGCUCAAACAAAUUUCAUGGUAAAUUUGGAUGUCAAGAUACCAAUGGCACUUGGAAGAGCCUGCAAAUUGUUGACAUAUCUCGAAACUACUUUAAUGGUAGCAUAUCUGGAAAAUGCAUAGAAAAGUGGAAAGCAAUGGUGGAUGAGGAAGACUUUAGCAAGUCAAGAGCUAAUCACCUUCGUUUUAAUUUCUUCAAAUUCAGUGCUGUGAACUAUCAAGACACGGUAACUAUUACAAGCAAAGGUCUGGACGUUGAACUGACAAAAAUUCUAACAGUCUUCACUUCCAUUGACUUUUCAUGCAAUCUCUUCAAUGGCCAUAUACCUGCAGAAAUCGGAGAACUCAAGGCGCUUUAUCUUCUCAACUUUUCCCACAAUUAUCUGUCAGGUGAAAUUCCUUCAUCUAUUGGAAAUUUGAGUCAGCUGGGUUCUUUAGAUCUUUCAAGAAACAGGCUUACUGGCCAAAUCCCUCAACAGCUCGCGGGACUAUCGUUUCUCUCUGUAUUGAAUCUGUCCUACAAUCUGUUGGUUGGUAUGAUUCCCAUUGGCUCCCAAUUCCAAACAUUUUCUGAAGAUUCCUUUAUUGGUAAUGAAGGAUUAUGUGGAUACCCUUUGCCAAAUAAGUGUAAAACUGCCAUUCAUCCAACUUCAGAUACAAGUAACAAAAAAUCAGAUUCAGUAGCUGAUGCUGAUUGGCAAUUCGUAUUCAUUGGAGUUGGGUUUGGAGUAGGAGCAGCAGCAGUUGUUGCUCCUCUUACGUUUUUGGAAAUCGGUAAAAAAUGGUCCGACGAUACCGUCGACAAAAUUCUUCUGGCCAUUCUUCCAUUAAUGGGAUACAUCUACCUGACUUCCAGUGACCGCAAAGUCGAACUAGAAGAUGAUAUCAAAGAUGACGAUGACGAAGAAGACGAUUACAUGGCAGUUAUUUAUGAAAUUGAAGAAAGUGAAGAAAAAUCCUCAGAAUUUAAAGGGCAAUACUGUGUGUUUUGUUCAAAACUUGACAUCUAUAUGACGAAGGUUGUUCAUGAUACUCGAUGUACAUGUCUCUCUUCACUGCCCCCAUCUUCUUCUCUUUCUACAUUUCGAGAAAAAAAUUAAAGCUUGAAAAGGUAAUUUCCACUAUUUUUGCCAUUCUAUAAUUGGAAAAUAAGAGCAUAUCUUCUGCUGUACAUAAUUAGGUAUCAUCAACUUGAGAAUUGGGUUGUUGAAAUACUGUUAAAUUGUUAUUGUAUAUUCUAACGCUGUCUUCUUUCUUUUUCUACAUUUGUAAGGAAAUAUAUUAGGACAUAAAAAUGUUAUUUCCAUUCUUUUUGUCAUUCCAUGUAACAUUAUUACUUAUCAGACAACAGAAACUUCAAAACUGGGGUGUUUUUGAAAUUAAUGUGCUAUUAUAUCCUUCCUGUGAAUAUGUUAAAGUCUUCUGUAUGGAGAGAUUGGAUCAAGGUUGAAA